CUCCGGGCGGCCGUGACCCUGCUGGAGUCCGGGGGGGACCUCCAGCCCCCCGGGGGGUCCCUGCGCCUCCUCUGCCGAGGCUCCGGGUUCAGUUUCGGCAGUUUUGGGAUGGGCUGGAUUCGCCAGAGACCUGGACAGGGGCUUGAGUGGGUCGCAGGGAUCGACAGCAAUGGUGCUUACACCCUCUACGCGCCGUCGGUCAAGGGCCGGGGCCGGUUCACGAUCUCCAGGGACAACGGGCAGAGCUCGGUGACGCUGACCAUGAACAACCUCAAGGACGAGGAUUCCGGAUCCUAUUUCUGUGCCAAAAAUGCUUAUACUGGUAGUUGGGGUGCUGCUGGUGCUGGUUAUAUUGACUACACGGGUGGUGUCCCCACCCCGAUCUCCGAGUCCCCCCAGUCCCCAGAGCCCAGACCCUUCCCCCAGAGCCCAGCCCCAGCCCCAGCUCUUGACCAUUGA